UGGCCAUAUCACGUUGAAAUACUUGUUCCCAUACGGUCACCGGAGUUAAGCAAACCCGAACCUGGUCAAUACCUAGAUGGGUGACUGCUUGAGAAUUCCAGGUGCUGUAAG